CAGGAAAAACCUGAUGGAGGUUCGAGGCAAUAACAGGUCUGUGAUGCCCUUAGACGUUCUGGGCCGCACGCGCGCUACACUGAUACAGCCAGCGAGUCUAAACCCUUGUCCGAGAGGACUAGGUAAUCUUGUUAAACUGUAUCGUGCUGGGGAUAGAGCUUUGCAAUUUUUGCUCUUGAACGAGGAAUUCCUAGUAAGCGCAAGUCAUCAGCUUGCGUUGAUUACGUCCCUGCCCUUUGUACACACCGCCCGUCGUUACUACCGAUUGAGUGACUUAGUGAAGCCUUUGGACGUGCGAUUGAUGAGGGCGACCUCUGCCGUUGUACGAAAAUUGGAUGAACUUGGCCAUUUAGAGGAAGUAGAAGUCGUAACAAGGUUUCCGUAGGUGAACCUUCGGAAGGAUCAUUAUAGAUUUAUUGAUACUUUGUGAAUGAAUUAUAAGCUUUAUGCGAAAUACUUUUUAUUAAUUUUAGUCUAAAAAAACGAAAUCAAAACCUUUAACAGUGGUUCUCUUGGUUCUCGUAUCGAUGAAGAACGCAGCAAGGCGCGAUAGAUAAUGUGAAUUGCAGACGUGAAUCAUUGAGUUUUUGAACGCACAUUGCACCUCUUUGGAGGUAUACUUGUGUGAGCGUCAUUUUUUCUCCAC
rnacentral:rRNA from 1 species